CUAUCUUGUGUGUUGUGUUUGAAGCUAGGGUAAUUAAUUUGUGCGACCGCGACAUCGCAACAGAAGCUGACUGGCGGGAUCCCCUCAAGGGUUGCACCGCCAACCGACCUUGAUCUUCUGAGAAGGGUUCGAGUGAGAGCAUGCCUGUCGGGACCCGAAAGAUGGUGAACUAUGUCUGAGUGGGGCGAAGCCAGAGGAAACUCUAGUGGAGGCCCGCAGCGAUACUGACGUGCAAAUCGUUCGUCUGACUUGGGUAUAGGGGCAAAAGACUAAUCAAACCAUCUAGUAGCUGG
rfam:Populus trichocarpa scaffold_8_contig_195, whole genome shotgun sequence.